CGAAAUGUCAACUCUUUUCUUCUCCGCCGAUGCUGCCAGACCUGCUAAGUUUUUCCAGCCAGAGUUUCUGCUCCUGAUCACUCCAAUGACCUGCCUUUCUGCAGCAUGACAAUAGAGGAACAGAAGUUGGCCAGAAUGCUUUUCGAGGCUGAUGGAUACAGUCAAGGAUAGGGCUUUCAGAUUGAAACCAAUGCCCAUUCUCCCAUUCACACCAAGUCUAAAAGAAGCUGAAGAAAUGGACCUUUAACUCCUUCCAGUCCGCAGAUGGGGUCUCUGGCCUCGAUGGGAACUUCACUCUACACCUGCAAAGUCGCACUCUCUCCAGCAGGGGGUGCAGCAGGAGGACGUGGCCAUGCCAAAGCAAGAGCCCGCACUGCACUGAACUGCGAUUGCAAAGGUGCUGAAAAUACUGCACGCUCACCUAGAGAUACAAGAGAGGUUGGAAUGUCCCAGGAAUGACCUGCACACCUUAUCGUCCAUCACAGAGAUCCAGGCUAUUGAUCGAACAAGGAUGGAAGACAAAGCAACAACAAUGACUUGCAUUUAUAUAGCAGCUUUCAAGUAACACAACAUCCAAAGGCAUUUCAGAAAAGAGUAAUUAUCGAGCAAGAUUCGACUUUGAGCCACUGGAGAUGUCAUGACUGUGAUAAAAAGCUUGGUCAAAACGGCAGGUUUUAAGGAGAGUCUUAGAGAUGGAGAGAGAGAGGUGGAGAGGUUUAGGGAGGGAGUUCCAGGGCUUAGGGCCCCAGGCAGCUGAAGGCACAGCUGCCAGUUGUGGAGCGAUGGGAAUCAAGGGAUGCUCAAAUGGCCGAAAUUGGAAGAGAGCAGAAAUCUCGGAACGUUGUCAGAGCUGGAAAUGGUUAGAUAGAUAGGGAGCAUUGUAGAGGGUGGAGGAGGUUACACAGAUAGGGAGAGUUGUAAGGGCUGGAGGAGGUUACAGAG